UAGGGAAUCUUCGGCAAUGGGGGGAACCCUGACCGAGCAACGCCGCGUGAGUGAAGAAGGUUUUCGGAUCGUAAAGCUCUGUUGUUAAGGAAGAACGAGUGUGAGAAUGGAAAGUUCAUACUGUGACGGUACUUAACCAGAAAGGGACGGCUAACUACGUGCCAGCAGCCGCGGUAAUACGUAGGUCCCGAGCGUUGUCCGGAUUUAUUGGGCGUAAAGCGAGCGCAGGUGGUUAGAUAAGUCUGAAGUUAAAGGCAGUGGCUCAACCAUUGUAGGCUUUGGAAACUGUUUAACUUGAGUGCAGAAGGGGAGAGUGGAAUUCCAUGUGUAGCGGUGAAAUGCGUAGAUAUAUGGAGGAACACCGGUGGCGAAAGCGGCUCUCUGGUCUGUAACUGACGCUGAGGUUCGAAAGCGUGGGUAGCAAACAGG
rnacentral:rRNA from 1 species